GGCCGGCUGGCCCAAUGAGGCGCUUGACUACGAAUCAAGAGAUUGCAGGUUCGACCCCUGCGUCGGUCA
rnacentral:tRNA from 1 species